rfam:Planctomycetes bacterium RBG_13_63_9 RBG_13_scaffold_57326, whole genome shotgun sequence.
GGGCGUUUAGCUCAGUUGGUUAGAGCGCCAGCUCGACAAGCUGGAGGUCACUGGUUCGAGCCCAGUAACGCCCA